rnacentral:rRNA from 1 species
UACGUAGGGUGCAAGCGUUGUCCAGAAUUAUUGGGCGUAAAGAGCUCGUAGGCGGUCUGUCGCGUCUGCUGUGAAAACUCAGGGCUUAACCCUGAGCUUGCAGUGGGUACGGGCAGACUAGAGUGCGGUAGGGGAGACUGGAAUUCCUGGUGUAGCGGUGAAAUGCGCAGAUAUCAGGAGGAACACCGGUGGCGAAGGCGGGUCUCUGGGCCGUAACUGACGUUGAGGAGCGAAAGCAUGGGGAGCGAACAGG